rnacentral:rRNA from 1 species
AGCGAACGCUGGCGGCAGCCCUAACACAUGCAAGUCGAACGAACUCUUCGGAGUUAGUGGCGGACGGGUGAGUAACACGUGGGAACGUGCCUUUUGGUUCGGAAUAACUCAGGGAAACUUGUGCUAAUACCGAAUGUGCCCUUCGGGGGAAAGAUUUAUCGCCAUUAGAGCGGCCCGCGUCUGAUUAGCUAGUUGGUGAGGUAACGGCUCACCAAGGCGACGAUCAGUAGCUGGUCUGAGAGGAUGACCAGCCACACUGGGACUGAGACACGGCCCAGACUCCUACGGGAGGCAGCAGUGGGGAAUCUUGCGCAAUGGGCGAAAGCCUGACGCAGCCAUGCCGCGUGAAUGAUGAAGGUCUUAGGAUUGUAAAAUUCUUUCACCGGGGACGAUAAUGACGGUACCCGGAGAAGAAGCCCCGGCUAACUUCGUG